rnacentral:rRNA from 1 species
CUCAGGACGAACGCUGGCGGCGUGCUUAACACAUGCAAGUCGAACGGUAAGGCCCCUUCGGGGGUACACGAGUGGCGAACGGGUGAGUAACACGUGGGUAAUCUGCCCUGCACUUCGGGAUAAGCCUGGGAAACCGGGUCUAAUACCGGAUAUGAGCUCCUGCCGCAUGGUGGGGGUUGGAAAGUUUUUCGGUGCAGGAUGAGUCCGCGGCCUAUCAGCUUGUUGGUGGGGUAAUGGCCUACCAAGGCGACGACGGGUAGCCGGCCUGAGAGGGUGAUCGGCCACACUGGGACUGAGACACGGCCCAGACUCCUACGGGAGGCAGCAGUGGGGAAUAUUGCACAAUGGGCGGAAGCCUGAUGCAGCGACGCCGCGUGGGGGAUGACGGUCUUCGGAUUGUAAACUCCUUUCAGUAGGGACGAAGCGAGAGUGACGGUACCUGCAGAAGAAGCACCGGCCAACUACGUGCCAGCAGCCGCGGUAAUACGUAGGGUGCAAGCGUUGUCCGGAAUUACUGGGCGUAAAGAGCUCGUAGGCGGUUUGUCACGUCGUCUGUGAAAUCCUCCAGCUCAACUGGGGGCGUGCAGGCGAUACGGGCAGACUUGAGUACUACAGGGGAGACUGGAAUUCCUGGUGUAGCGGUGAAAUGCGCAGAUAUCAGGAGGAACACCGGUGGCGAAGGCGGGUCUCUGGGUAGUAACUGACGCUGAGGAGCGAAAGCAUGGGGAGCAAACAGGAUUAGAUACCCUGGUAGUCCAUGCCGUAAACGGUGGGCGCUAGGUGU